rnacentral:rRNA from 1 species
GUGCAGCAGCCGCGGUAAUACCGGCAGCACGAGUGAUGGCCGAUCUUAUUGGGCCUAAAGCGUCCGUAGCUGGCCGAACAAGUCCGUCGGGAAAUCCACGUGCUUAACACGUGGGCGACCGGCGGAAACUGUUCGGCUUGGGGCCGGAGGACCCGAGGGGUACGUCCGGGGUAGGAGUGAAAUCCUGUAAUCCUGGACGGACCGCCGGUGGCGAAAGCGCCUCGGGAAGACGGACCCGACAGUGAGGGUCGAAAGCUGGGAUCUCGAACCGGAUUAGAGACCCUGGUAGUC